UGCAUAUCAAUAAGCGGAGGAAAAGAAACUAACAAGGAUUCCCCUAGUAACGGCGAGUGAAGCGGGAAGAGCUCAAAUUUGUAAUCUGGCACUUUCAGUGUCCGAGUUGUAAUCUCGAGAAGUGUUUUCCGCGCCGGACCGCAUACAAGUCUGUUGGAAUACAGCGUCAUAGUGGUGAGAACCCCGUAACUGAUGCGGAUGCCCGGUGCUUUGUGAUACACUUUCGAAGAGUCGAGUUGUUUGGGAAUGCAGCUCAAAUUGGGUGGUAAAUUCCAUCUAAAGCUAAAUAUUGGCGAGAGACCGAUAGCGAACAAGUACCGUGAGGGAAAGAUGAAAAGCACUUUGGAAAGAGAGUUAACAGUACGUGAAAUUGUUGGAAGGGAAACGCUUGAAGUCAGACUUGCUAUUUGGAAUUCAGCCGCAAGGUGUACUUUUCAAUUCGCAGGCCAGCAUCAGUUUUCGGGGGUGGAAAAGGGUAGAGAGAAGGUAGCAAUUUCGGUUGUGUUAUAGCUCUUUGCUGGAUUCNUCCUUGGGGACUGAGGAACGCAGCACGCUUUUUGCAAGGCUUUCGAGCUUUUCGUGCUUAGGAUGCUGGUGGAAUGGCUUUAAACGACCCGUCUUGAAACACGGAC
rnacentral:rRNA from 1 species